CAGCCGCCGCGGUAAUACGUAGGUGGCAAGCGUUAUCCGGAAUUAUUGGGCGUAAAGCGCGCGUAGGCGGUUUUUUAAGUCUGAUGUGAAAGCCCACGGCUCAACCGUGGAGGGUCAUUGGAAACUGGAAAACUUGAGUGCGGAAGAGGAAAGUGGAAUUCCAUGUGUAGCGGUGAAAUGCGCAGAGAUAUGGAGGAACACCAGUGGCGAAGGCGACUUUCUGGUCUGUAACUGGCGCUGAUGUGCGAAAGCGUGGGGAUCAAACAGGAUUAGAUACCCUGGUAGUCAAGGGCG
rnacentral:rRNA from 1 species